GACGAACGCUGGCGGCGUGCUUAACACAUGCAAGUCGAACGAAGUGGCGAACGGGUGAGUAACGCGUAAUCAACCUGCCCUUCAGAGGGGGACAACAGUUGGAAACGACUGCUAAUACCGCAUACUGAAGGAGGGGAUUGCGUCGGAUUAGCUAGUUGGAGGGGUAACGGCCCACCAAGGCGAUGAUCAGUAGGCGGUCCUAGAGGAGGGACGGCCACAUUGGGGAUGGAGAACGGCCCAGACCCCUACGGGAGGCAGCAGGGGGGAAACUUCCGCAAUGGGAGAAAGUCUGACGGAGCAACGCCGGGGGAGUGAUGACGGCCUUCGGGGUGUAAAGGUCUGUUAAUCGGGACGCGGUACCGGAAUAGAAAGCCACGGCUAACUACGUGCCAGCAGCCGCGGUAAUAC
rnacentral:rRNA from 1 species